rnacentral:rRNA from 1 species
CCCUUAGAUGUUCUGGGCUGCACACGCGCUACACUGAAGGGAUCAGCGCGUUUUCCCUUCCCGAGAGGGACGGGUAACCUGCUGAACCCCGUUCGUGGUAGGGAUCGGGGCUUGCAAUUAUUCCCCGUGAACCAGGAAUGCCCAGUAAGUGCAAGUCAUAAGCUUGCGUUGAUUACGUCCCUGCCCUUUGUACACACCGCCCGUCGCUACUACCGAUUGAACGUUUUAGUGAGGUACUCGGACUGAGCCUCAGAAGAUUCACGUCUUUUGUGCUGCUCGGGAAGAUUCCCAAACUUGAGCGUUUAGAGGAAGUAAAAGUCGUAACA